AUAUUUGUUUCAACCAUUGUAUUUCAGGUGGCUGAAUUGUACCUUAGCUAUUUCUGUUCCCAUCCAUGGAGAACCAGGACACUGAGUUUCUGGUUAAACAGGUAGAGGAGAGUGGCUGGUAAUUUGGCAUCACGUGAGUCUCGAUAUUUCUCUAUUAUUGUUAAUUUUCUUCAUACCCUGGCUUUAUUAUGUGUUAGGUGAAUUUUUUUUUUUAGUUUGAUGUGAUUUUUAUGUGUUUGGAGCUCUGCUUUUAUUUGCUUUCUACGUUGGAACACUAAAUAUUCCUAGGAUGUAGAAGAAUUUGUGUUCUCUGGUAGUUACAAAAGGUCCUUAAAAAAAAGGAAAACAAACAAACAAACAAAAACCCAACAAACAAAAUAAUCCCACCUCUUCUAAUCAUGAAUGACUAAACGUGACUCAGUAAGGUCACUAAUACUGUCUUCUACACUGAAGGAGGAGAAAAAGACCUUGUGUGAUGAACGUCUAACGAAAUAAUACUAUGGUUUCAUUCUCAGCUAGGAUCAAACUGUAUGCUCUUUAUUUCUCCUCAUAUCCUGCAUGAUGGGGUUCAGACAGAGGGCUUGUUUGUAUUCACACUACACGAGCACCUCUACCAGUGGUAGUGAACUAGAAAUAAUAAUGCAAACCUCUUAGUAAGUUAUAAUAUCCCUGAACACCCUCCUGGUCCAUGGUGACAUCAUGAAUUUGAUGCCUUUUUACUAGAUAAAUGGACACAGCAGAGGAGGAGAAGACAUUUUCUUGCUGAAAGUGUAACACUGUAUUCCUCAGGAGAAAUGACACAUACAAAGUUAUAGAAAUCAAAUAUAAAAUCAGAAUGACGAGAUCUGUGGAAAUUUGAAUACAUAAUAUCACUGCUAUAACUCCUCAAAAAAUCAAAAUGUGGAGGCCAAUUAGGUGAUUAAAUUAAGCUGAAACUGACUUUCUGAAGUUCAUAAAAAAUUAGGAGUAGUAAGAGAAACUAGUUAGUUUUUUAUAAGCAAAUAGGAAUGUCAAAUGUAUAUAAGAAAAUUGAUUGGGUUGUGGUAUUUUUGUUGUUGUUGUUGUCGUUGUUGCUUUUUUAAUACUUAUUAACCUAAGAGACCUGUUGUCAGGGCCUUAUUCUGAGUUUUUAGCUAUUUUAAACUCAUAACUGCUGGAAUCAAAUGAUUCCACAAGAAUUUCAUCUCUUGUAAAAUAAAAUGUUAGUAGCAAAAACAGAACUUGAAAAUUUGGUCAGAAUAAACCCUAAGAUCUCAAAAAACCAAACCAAACCAAACCAAAACAACAAAAAACAAAACAAAACAAAACAAAAAAGAACACAGAAUCAUAUAUUUCUUUUUAAGCCAUUUCCAUGUUUCCAGAGCCUGAUGUAUUUUUUUUAGGCUCCUUGAUUUUAACAGUGCACAAAAAGAAGGAGCAAUACAUAAUAAUGACAUUACAGCAGUACUAUUCAGAAAGUGGAAGAAAUAACAGAAAAAAAUGUAACUGUCCUCCAUUUAGUCUGAAGCUGCACUGCAAAAGGGAAUGAAUUAGUGCUUGUAGCAAACGUGUCAUUGGAGCUAUGAUUUUAUAGGGGCAAAUUUUCAGCAUUACAUAUUAACUGAGAAAUAAAUCAAACAAAAAGGAAAGACUUAAGCUCACAGAACCUCCUGCCUCAUAACUUUUCUGAAAGCUUGAAAAUCUCAGAGAAAGAGAUUCAUCUCCAGUUGCGCAUGGACAGCUUGGUAAUAAAUAAAUAAUAGAAGAAAUCUAAUAAUUAAAGACUCCAGAGAGAGGUCUUAGGACUGGAGGAAAAAAAGCACCAAAGCAGAGAGGCUUCAGCUCAACUGUGGUCAUGCAUCUAUCAAUUUGUUUUGGUGCACAAAGGGGGUAACUUUGCAGGAGGAUGUGUGCUGCUGAUGGGUACUGCAGGCAGGAAGCAGAGCUGGGGUGCAAGUGUCAUGGACAGACAGUGAAAGCAGCAGAAGCAGCUUCCCAUAAGCGGGCAGGGCUUCGGACGGUUGCUCACUCAUUUUCCCACAGUUAAAAGCUGACAAACUUGAAACGGUUAGGGGCCGAUAAGGCAAGUGUAGUUAAAAAGGAAGGAAAGGUUUUAAACACCUGAGGCCAAACUUCUAUCUUCUGUUGAUCUCAACUGGAAUAAAAUAAUAUUUGCAAGCCCAAGAUGUGACUCCUUGUCUCUUGUACAUAUUCUGAAACCCAUAGAAAUUGAUCAUGGAGUAUUUCUGGCUUUUCUGGCUGACCACACCAUAGACAUUGCUGUCCUCAUGUACAAACAGUUCUGUGCUUGCAGUAUGUCAUGCUAUAGGUAAAUAGUGCAUUAGCACAUUCACUCACAGACAUGUAAUUAUGGAUAGUGCUCUAAACGGAAGAGGAGAGAUACCAUUUGCAAGUAAAACAGACUGGUCCCAGGUUAAGUUACAGUUACCAAACAAAAUGGAGGCAGUCUUCAGGCCCUGACAAGCAGCUGCGAGUAAAACCUGUUGAACAAGUAAGACAUCAAAUGUCCUGUGGCAUCGGAAAGCAAAAAAUCUGAUAUUUGAUUUUUCUUUCUCUUGAAAGAAGCACUUCAUCAUGUAAACCCAAUUCUUUGUUUCGUGAGUGGGCCUGGACUGCCACUGUUCAUUACUAUGGGAGUCGAUGUAGAAAUCAACACAGUAAUGCCUUUCAUCUCUUGUAUUAUAAGAAUUCAAAUUCAAUUUUUAUUUUACAGCACAGACACAUAAUACCUCACAGUAUGGUUCUUGGUUGCAACCAUCCGUUAACAAUGGUUUUGAAAAGAGAUAUAGAACAUAAAAAUAAAACCCUAUUUUUCCCCCCAGUAGUUUGUUUCAUCUUACGAACAAUAGCAAUUCACCAUCUAAAACACACAGUAAUAGUAAGUAGAUUCUAUUAAACACUGUAUUCUUCCUAAUUUUAUUUAUUUAUUUAUUUAUUUAUUUUGACCACUGACAUAGUUAGCUGUUUCACAAAACCAGUGGUCUACAAAGUCUGGCCAACUGAUGCCUUUGCCAAUAGUAUACUAGGAUGCUAAGGGCCUUUCUUAGCUCCCAUACAGCAGACUACUGCACUUUUUCUUAUGCCAGUCAUGGAACUGCAAUACCAUGGGAACACUUAGACCUACAGUGUUUUACAGUGGGGUGCGUGGCCUGAGGUUUACAUGACUAUAACUGAUGCUGAUCAUGUUCUUAAUAAUUUACUCAGGUUCAUAUAUCUGCAUGUUUUACAAGGCUUUCAGUCUGAGUGUUUGACAAUAGCGUAUGCAUACGGUUAAGUGUGAAAGCCAUUACCCAAACAGGUGGACUAACUUUCUGUACAGUGUAUCUUUUAAAGUUGCGUGGUCAUCAUUCCUCCUUUGUCAGUGCUUCUGCUAAAGUGUCAAACUGAGGCUCUUUGCAACCAGUGGUUAGCUCUGUGGUCUAGAGACUGUUUCAUAAAGGCCCUAAAGAUAUUUCAGAAGCUAGGUGGCCCAGCAGAUUCUUUCUCUGGUUAAAAUGCAACAAAAUCCCAUCAGCCUCAGCAGUGAUCAGAGCAACAGAGGAAACAGCAACAUAUGAAAAACAGGGAUGGAGAUAUCCAAAGUAAUCUCACUAGUUUAUGUUAAGAAAGGAUUUGACAGACCUGCUGUGUUCCUACUUAAUGUCAAUCAAGCCUGAGAGGGACCACUUCAUCUCAGGUAUUUAUCUCAUACUGAUUUGAAUUAUUCUCACUUCUUGAUUUGGAAAGUCCAGAACAGAAUACCCUGAGAAGUGUGUGUUGACAUAUCCUACAUAAAACAAAAUUAAACCAAUCCAAGUCAAGGAAAUAAACAAUGUGACAUGAGAAUUGGGCCCUUUGAGUUUGACAACAAAAGUAGUCAAAUGUAGCUCUCAGUCAGGGCUGUAAGUUCUCAGAAAUUCUUCUGGGAAGUGAAAAAUCCAUGAAUUCCACUGCAUCAUCUCCUUCAUACAAAAAGGAUAAGCAAAACACGUGCAGGAAAAAUCAGCUAUAUUAUUAAUCUCUCUUUUUGCUGGUAAUCAAUAUAAGCCUUAUGUUUCUGUUGCAGACGUAACAGUAACUAAAGAGCAGCAUUCGCGGUUAAGUCUGGAUUGUCCUUCUUCAUUAGCCUAAUUCUGUGCAUAUCAAAACUUAUUCAGAAGAAAUUGUUUUAAAUGGUUACCAAGAUAUAAAUGAUUAUCACUGAAAUCACAGGAAAGAUAGUGCUUACCAAAACCCCAAGAAAGUACUUCAGACAAUUUUUCUUUCAUUGCCAAGCAGCGAAGGUCAAGUGAACUGUACUAUUUGCAAAUAUCCACCUUCCCAGUCUGUCACGAGCAGCUGUAACAUACCCACCAGCAGCAAUUUCCACUUGGAUCUAUCCAGAGGGAAGAAAGUACCAGGAAUUGCAUUGUUUAUAAUUCCCUCAACGCCAAGGGUAAUUCUGUUCACCAAUUACUUGAAAUUAAAGCUAGGUAAUUUGACACGUCUGUUUGGUACCCAACCACAAAAUACCUCUUAAGCAAACCAAAGAGUUGGAAAGUUUACUUCCACAAUACUUUACAGAAUUUCAUUAUUGCAGCCAUGACAGUAAAGUACAAAUGAGAAGUUACAUAAACUCAUGAGUAGCUGGGGUUUGGAGGGGAACGGAGUUUGUCAUUGUUGCCAGUGUUAAGGAAUGCCAAUGGGUUUGACACAGAGCUGGAAGGCAGUUUUCUUCCAAGGAUGAGGCUUCCCAAUCAAAUAUAGCAAAUAUAGUAAGAAUUGAGCAACAAGAAGCUUCCAAGUGCAAUGUUGGACAGAAAAAGAAUGCUGUUCUCUGCAAUUAGGAGUGUUCAUACGUUGUGUCUUUGCAUGCAGUUACAAUGCUUCCUAGAAAAAGGCAAUGCAUAUGCAGAGAAAGAAUUACCCAUAUUAUCUACAGCCGGUAUUUUUUUUUAUCUUUAAGUCCACUCAUUUAAGUUACAUAAUUGAAGCCUGAGUUAGAUUAUAUCUAGGCUUGGAUUUUUUUUAAAGUCAAAUAAACCUCUUAAACAUUACAUUGGUGAUGAGUUUGUGUACACACCACUUCCGUAUCUCUUUGUGAGUAACAAACUAGCUGUCAGGUAUCUCCACUGAACUGCAUGACUCACUCCGUGGAUUCAUUUUACAAUCUGGUAAAACCGGUAACUGAUAACACCUAUCCUUUGUAAGAACUUUUUAGGUGUUUUAAUUUGACAAAUGAACAUUUACAAAAAUGAAUAAAUAAAAGAUUAGACUGAUGAAGUUUAAAAACACAAAAGAUGACUCAAAAAUCCAUUCACUCAACAUUAUUUUGAGCAGUAUAGCUAAUGUCAGUGAAGUGAGCCUAGUUCUCCUUUCCAUCAGGAUAAAUGAGGUGUAAUUUCAAAGACACCAUUAUCCUUAAACAGUGUAAAAUAAGUGAACAAGAAAUACAGAGCCACUAUCUUUUACUAGUCAGAGGAGUCAAUUUUUAAUUGUGUAAUCUCGAUCUUGUUAACAUAGCUUCCUAUUUAGAAACUUUAGUGCCAAAUAAGUAGAAGGUGCUAUAUUUUUUAACUCUGAAUAUGAUUACCCUUUCAACCAUAUUCUGCAUUUCAUUUUUACUAUAGAAGUUGUUCGUUGUCCAAUUUCAAGCUGAAAAACUAUAAAAGUCCAUUUUGACUUCACUAUAGAAGAACUAAAAGUUUUUUUUUUUUUUUUUUAACUAGGAUUAAAUUGAUAUAUCUAGAGCUUCAGUCAUUGUAAUAUGACAUUAGGAGCAUAGUCAAAUACUAGCUUUGACUAUAAGUGUCCUACUAAAGUAGCAGUCUACUGCAGAGUGCUUUUUGAUGUAUCAAAGAAAUGGUACUAUCUUUCAAACUGCAUUCAUAUUCUAACCUCCUAUCAUCAAGGUAAAGUAAUAGCAGGACUAAAGCAUGAUCUUUUUUUACAGUUUAUAGAAGUCAAUGCUAUAAGGGAUUGCCUAGCCUUCCAUUAGAUAUUCAUGUUUAAAUGAACCACAUAUAGGCUUUCCAAUCUACAAACUCCAUUAAUUAGGUUUUCUCCUUUUCUCUGUCUUUUAUUUUAGGCUUCUUUACCUUCUCCCCUGCUGACACUGCUAUAGCUUCACUAAUGACAGGCCAAGUAAUUUUUCUUUCCCUAAAACUGAAACACUCUUACUGGAACUAUUCACAAAUAUUUCAGUCUAAUACACUUGACCAAUGACUUCAUUACUUAGUGGGUAGAUAAAUUUUUACUUCAUUAUCUUUCAGAUCUGCCACAAAUCAUAUAGAAGGUUCUACCUCAUGAGACUGUUUUUGUUUUGCAAAAACAAACAAACAAACAAAAAAACUUGGUUAGUAGACAAAAUGUCUUUAAAAAAUUCUUCACAUUUAUAGCUUUGUUAUGUCUAUACUAUGUACAGCAGACAGACAGGCAGACAGAGAGUAUACAGCCAUGGGGGAAAAAAAAAAAAAAAAAAAAAAGUAGCAUUAGGAGGAUCAGAGCUGGAAGUGAAUCCCCAGAGGUGGUAAGGUAUGUGUGACAAGAUAACAGAAUUUGGGUUCCCUUUUUUUCCUGGGAACGUUUCCCCACAUAUCUCCUCCACUUUUUCUUUUCCCCUGGAAAGAGCAAGUUUUCAUCCUGAGAGUGGUAGAAUCAAUUCUAACUUUUUUGUUAGUGUGAAUUUAGGACAAAAUAUAGAACUCCACAUUCACGCAGCAAUGGGGAAGAAUCUCUAAAAAUGAUUAUUUACAAAUGAAACAAUGCAUUUAUUUUGAUAUUGUUGAAUUGUGUCACUGAAGUCCACAAGCUUUCUCACUGAAGAGCUUAAAAUACUGAAUAUAUGAUAUGAAUACUACUACAGAAUAAAAUAAAAUUUUGAUAGGAUAAAUUCAGAAGAAAAAAGCAGAAAUGAAUUAAUCUACUUUGAUUUUGAGGCAUUGAAAUAGUUUCUGUUGACUAUAUUGUUAAAAUCAGCAUGUUCUUGUACAGUAUUUAAAAUACAACCUUUCUGAAAACAGUUUUUGAUCAACUUUAUGUAGAAGAAAAUGUUAUUUUUAUUGUUUUUACCAUAAAUGCAUGAAAGGUAUUCAUAAUGACAGACACUGCUGAUGAAAAGAGCCAGAUUAACACAAUGGGUCCUUCCCACAGAACGAACAGGUAAUUAGGGAUGGUAUUGCCAUAUUCAAAAUUGCUCUUUUGUAUCUGAGUCUGUUCUAAAACUGGACCAGCAAACAGUUCAAAUUCCAGACACCUUAAUCAAGCAAAAACCAAUCUUAAUUUCAGGUCCUUCUCCUUCUAAAUGAAGUCUGCAAGAGUAACAAGAAUUGUCCAGUAAAAAUGUGAAUGUGUUGUAAAUGCUACAUGGGAACCCAUGGCUAAAUGAAAGAAAAUGAAAAUAAAAAACUGUUAGUCAUAGACUUAUAGAAUGAUUUGGGAUGCAAGAGACCUUAAAGCCCAUCCAGUUCUAACCCCCUGCUGUAUGCUGGCUGCCACCCCCCAGGUCAGGCUACCCAGGGCCCCAGUCCAACCUGGCUCCAAACACUUUUAGGGAUGGGGCACCCUCAGCUCUCUGGGCAGCAGUGCCAGUGCCACAUUACCCUCUGAGUAAAUAAUUUCCUUCUAAUAUCUAGCCUGUAUCUCUCCUCUUGUAGCUUAAAACCAUUCCCCCUUGUCCUAUCACUGUUGGUCCAUAUAAAAAGUCAGUCUCCCUCCCCCUUACUGAAAGACUGCAAUGAGGUCUCCCUGGAAGCUUCUCCUCUCCAGGUUGAAAAAGCUCUGCUUCCUCAGCUUGUCUUCAGAGGACAGGUGCCCCAGCCCUCAUCCUUGUGGCCCUCUUUAGUUCUGUGUGUAAGCACUUCAUCACAGUAAGGAUGACAGCACUGGAACAGGCUGCCCAGAGAGGCUGUGGAGUCUCCUUCUCUGGAGACGUUCAAGACCCAACUGGAUGCCUACCUGUGCAACCUGGUCUAGGGAGUGAUCUCUAGAGGUCCCUUCCAACUCCUACAAUUCCAUGAUUCUGUGAUUCUAGAUCCAUACCAACUGUUCCCUGUUUUUCUUGUGCUGGGGGUCCUAGACCUGGACACAAUAAGGAGAUAACUCUCCAGUAUAGCUGGAUGAAUCUCCAAUAUCAGGAUACAAGAUAACCCUAGUACAGAUCAAAGAAAGUAUUUAUUAUACAAAACUUUUCUCCUGCUCUCAAACGUAAACACUUUAUCUACAGAAACAUUCCAGAUUUGGUCUGGAGGGCAAACUCUGGAAAUGAAAACUCUCCAUCUGUAGAUCCACAAUCAUAGAAUCAUCAAAUCCUUAGAGUUGGAAGGGACCUUUAAAGGUAAUCUAGUCCAGCUUCCCUGCAAUGAACAGAGACAUUCACAGUUAGGUCAGGUUGCCCAGAGCCUGAUCCAGCCUCACACUGAAAGCCUUCAGGGAAAGGGCAUUCACCACAUCCCUGGGCAACCUGUUUUAGUGGUUCAUCACUCUCAGUUUAAAAGACUUUUUACUUAUAUCCAACCUAAAUCUACCCUCUUUAAGCUUGAAACCAUUUCCUGAUUUCUUAGGUGACCAAUCAGUGCAACACUCAGGAGCAAGGUCUUAGAGACAUUCCUCAUCAGGAUUUCAAUCAUUUCUUCAUUUCAAUGUCAAAUGAUAGGUGGUAGCCAUCAUUGUUGAAUCAGUUCAUACUAACUAUGCAUCAAGACAUGCUCCCCCCACUAUCCAGAUUCUUCCACUUUCUCUUAGAUAUACAGAUCAAAUUUUAUUAAAUUCUUCCUUCUUGUCAAAGUGAAUUACAAGCAUCAGAUGGAUAGGGUUGAACAGCUUAUAAUGUGCACAUAGUAACAAUGCUUCCAGAUACAGUAUUGAAUGAAUGAUAAUGUAUGCUGAUACUGGCUCAGCUGACACGCUAUGUGGCCAAAAUUCAUUGUUACAUCAGAAAAACAAAAAUCAGGAAGGACUGUGAAGAAGGAACUUUCUUGCCAAAUUCAAAUCACAAUAAUGUUGGUAUCACUUGGGAAUAACAUAACUAAAUGGAUCUGAUUUUGCUGGCUGCAGCAGAAAUGACCAGAAAGGAAUGCUGGGCAGACCUUGCACUUCUCUGUAUAGUGCUUCUUCUGCAGCUCACGUGCUCCCAAGUCACACUGUAUAACAGCAAGUACAUGACAGCCUGGUGCCACUCUCUUGUUUCACAUUGUUCUUAUAUGUAACCCUAUUUUGCCUGCAUAAAUAGGGAGGAAUUUCCAAUUCUGCAGAGAUACUACAAGUUUAGUCAUGAAGAUAAUUAAGUCCUUUGGGCUUGAACUACCCAAACAUUUCAUACUUGAAAGAAAUUCAGAUAUGACUCUUAAUGCCUGGACUACUGCCAUCUAAACAGUUUGGAUUCAUUUGAGGUUUAAUAUUAGCUCCAAAUUCUUCUUCACGUCAAUUCAUCAUUCAGAUAUUUACUAUUCCAAUUAUUAGUAUUAUAUAAUAGUCAGACAUUCUAAGAUACUGUACUGCCUACUGCUACCUACAUAUGAAAGCAAGCAUACAUCUUUCAAAAACUUCAAAUUUAAUCAGCAAAAAAUAGAAAAAAAAAUAUAUCAAAGAAGAAAAAAGUUAUUAAAGCAUUUUUCCAAAGAAAAGGAAACAUAGGAAGAGCCCAGUCAGUUGCCCCCUAAAAAAACACCAAUGAUCUGGAGGGAAACUCUUGAAGAUUAUAAUCUCCCAAAGCAAUGGGAAACUUCGUUACUAGGUCAUUUUACUAUGAACUUUUUGCAGCAAUAAUUAUUUCUCAUUUUUGUUGAUCACUGCAGUCAAAUAAAAUUAUUUUUACACAUUCCAGAACAUAAAGAACUCCAGCACUGAAAUAAAUAUUUUUUCCAUUGACAGAAACUUAGAUCUUGAGGAAUUUACCAAAAAUGUAGGUACGUCUUGAUACAACUGUGAUGGUCACAUAAAAGAUACCUUGAUACCGAAACAGGAACACUUGCUUAAAAUCAAGCUUCAGUGUCUAGAGAUCUUUGAAGGUAAGGAGAAAGGCAGAAGAGCUGCAUUUAUCUAGGAUUACAGAAUCACACAGAAUUGCAGGAGUUAGAAGGGACAUCAAGAGAUCAACAAGUCCCCAUUAGGACAUGCACCUCUGUGCAAGAUUCUCAGCAAUUUUACUUGCAUUUCUAAGUAGAGCUCCUAGAACCACCUUUGUUUGGAAAUUACUGUAGUAUUUUAGCAUCAAAACAUGACAAUGUCUGAUUAAUUUUAUAUUAUCGCUAGCAGUAAAUGUGUGCAUAUCAGUAUAUACACAUGCUAUGCCAAACAUUUUUUGAAUUAAUAUAAUUUAGGUCACUCAUAAGCCAUUUGAAAAACAUAAUUGCAAGAAAUAAAAUGAAACCUUUUAAAAAUUUUAUUGCAGUGUAAGGUUAACUCUGAGCUGACUAAAAUCUGGAUACCUUUCAAACCUAUGUUCCUCAUGUGGAGAGCAGUGGGAUAAUUCAAGCUUAGCUAUCUGAUACACUUUCUUCAGGUCUCUGCAGAAGUAAUUAAAACAGAAUAUGGAUAAAUCAUUUGCCAACUUUCAUUUUUAUUCAUAGGCUAAAUUUUAUUCUAAAACUAAUACAAAGCCAUAUUUUACUGUUGAUCAAUGUAAAUCCGAAAUGAUUGUGAGAUAGAAUACGAUUCACUUAUAUUUAAGACUAACAAAUGAAUGUCUUUUUCACAUAGAAAGGGCUUCUGAAGAGUUAUGUAAUUCAAUUUUGUCUUGAAAAAAAUGUGAACUCAGAAUUAUCAAUACUCAUGAAGCAGGUGAAACUGCGUCUUUAUUAUGAAUAGGAGGGUUACUUACAUGACUUGCUUAUGAUCUGACACCCAGAUUUAUUACCUUGUUUUGGACUGAUAUUUUUAUAAUAAUUUCCUGCCUCUUUAGCUUCUCUUUCAGUGGUGAUGUAAUGCAUUACGAAAUGAAGAGAUGAGACUGAAUCUCAAAGAUCUUAGAAAGUUCUGUCCAGUUGAUUAGGGACUGAAAAGAUUUUUUUACCUUUCAAGGUUAAAUAUUCCCAGAUGAGUCCUAUGCCUAAAAGCUUAGUCCUGCUGUUUUUCAACUAAUCAUUUGCAAAACUGAAGGAAAAAUAAAAAUUAAAAAGGUAAGACAGAAAAAAAAAAAAAAAAAAAAAAGAGAGACUUCUGGUAGGUGAGCCACAGCAGGGCAAUUAAGAUGAUAUGGCAGAGGUAGACAUCUGCUCCUAGACAGAUACAGUUCCACUGAUGCUAUCUAUAGCUGCAAUCCUUCUGAGAGAUAAACAACGUGCGAGAGCAACGCACAGAAGGAAAUACCACACUGAGAAAAUGAUGAUGGGAGACCAAGCUUGCGGCCCCUGUGGUCUGAGAAAGAGUGAGAGGCAGCAAAAGAAAAAGGGAGGGGUGACAUGUGGGGCCUGUACCAGGCACACGCAGGUGACUGAGUCGUAUGAUGGACACACAUCAAGAUGUAAAGCUGGAAGCUGUGUGAGAACUGACGCUGGAGGGGAGCAGAAUCACAGCAAAGAUGAAAGGCUGGACCUAGGGCUUGAUUUGCUUCCACAAAAGAUCAACAGCAUCGAAGUCUCAUCCUGUCAUCCUAUCUCACGCCGUUACCUCAAACCAAAAAUGCAACUCGUAAUAAUUCUUCCUGGUUACCCUGUGGUCUCAUUUGGUUAAAAAUAAAAGUUUCUUUUCUCUGUCUGGGAACAAGACAGCAAUAUCAAGAAGAAGAGUUUAAUUAAAAACUGGAGCUAAUCUCAAGACCUCAUGCUUUGGAAUUUAUUUAUUUAUUUUUAAUGUCUGCGUAUGAAAGGCUCUUGUCCAGAAAAACCUUGCCUAGAAAGUCUGAAGUUUUCUGUGUAUCUGAAGGAGGCAGAGGUGGACUUAAUGCCUUUAACAAGCAAUUCACUUGAGGCUAGAUUCUGCUAUCCUAACUCAGUUUAUACCCAAAGGUGGCAAAUUUAAAUACUUCUUCUGUCGACAGGUUGCUCAUAAAUAGAUAUAAACAGACGGCAUUUACCUCCGAUGUAUUCAUUAUGGAAAAUUGUGCAAUAAGCCUUAUUGUUUGUUUAACUUCACUCGUCUUCCUUAUUCUAGAGUGCAAUCAUGAAUGUUUGAGUGAUGUAGAUGUUGGUUUUAGUUAGUUGUUUAUUGUUUUCGUGGUUUUUUUUUUUUAGACUCUUGCAUUUUUCUUUCUUUCUGCUUAUUUUUAAUUUAUUUCACAUUCACACACAUAAGCCUCAACUUUUCUUUCUGAGACAUGAAAGCUGGAAAAACUCUGUUCUGUGAGUGCGUGCAGAAAGUGAAAGAAAAACAUAAAUGGUAAAUAUCUAAUGUACAUUAUUCCAAAAGCUUAAUUUUUGAAUAUAAGUGUGAAAUAAGGUCAUCCCUUUAUUAAAAUUCACCUAGAUCUACGUUAAAGUAUCAAAACAGGAAUGGUAUCAGGAAAGAACAAAGCCCUCCUACAAAUGUGUUAGUUAUUAAUGUAUAAUUUCUCCUUUUAGAGUACAAUUCUUUCAGCAUAUCCAGCAAAUAAUUCAAAUAUUUGUAGGCCAUCAUAAAAGAUCUGAUAAUUUAAGCUAGUAAAGGAAAGCUGUAAUCUUGGAGAAAUCCCCUUUGGAAUAUCUACAGUGACCAUCUAUCAACAGAGAAAGACAGUUCCAGAGAUAAAACCCCUAAUGUUCAUCAGAGUGUAAUAAUUUUUGGACAUUACAAGUGCUAAUGUAGCUUUGCUAUUCCCAGCUAGUAAUUCUUGGGGAAUCUGUCAGCUAUGGAAAUCUGUGAGAUUAGCCCUGAAAUAUAUACUUGAUUGAUAACUAUACUGUUUCUAUUAUGCUAUGGUCCUGCUUUUUUUUUUUUUUUUUUUUUUUUUUUCGAUUUUUAAGUGUAGAGUGUAAUAUCUGGGGCUUCUGAAAGAAACUAAAGAUUUACUACAGCAUAGAAGUACCCUUCAUUCCUUUUCUUUCAUGCUUUCUAAUGCAGAAAUAAAUAUGCAUAAAUAAUGCAGAAAUGAAUAUUCAUAAACAUGAAACUUAACAUGAGGAACUUUAGAAAAACAUUUAAAAAUAUAUUUUGGUGUAUGUUGCAUUAUUCAAUUUUAACCUACCAUGGUACUUUCAGGUGACAGAUUGUCAUUAUGACUAUGCUUCCUUUUUCACUGGAGUCUAUCACUUCAGAGAGUUCCCACCCCCAUCUCAGCUUUGCUUUGCAAGCUUUUUUAUCUUUUCUACCUUGCUAGAGGCAUUAUUAGGGCAGUUCACCUUUGACCAAAUGGGCAGACGAACAUCCAUCCUCUGGAGCCAAUACUAGUGCUGUUUGGUAGAUGAGCUCUCAAAUGGUACUGAACUGUGACCUCUUCUUCUGUUCAAAGACUAAAUACAUAAACUUGAGCCUCCAUUGGUGCCAAGCCUGGGAACCUGAGUUGCUCCCUAAUCCCAGGUCUUGCAGCCAGCAGCACAAUGGGCAGCUCACCAUGCCAGUCAGCCAGCCUGAAAGAAUGUCUUUAUUCUCUCUUCCUCAACAAAUUGCUUAUUGUUUGGCCCACAGGCUGCUAGACCUUGUGAACUGUCCAAAACUUUAUUGCCUUUCUGUUAAACUUUCUUCUUUUUUCCCUUUGAUUCUGUUUAUAAAUGAAAUGAAUUUAUAUUUUCACUUCUUAGCAGUAUCAUUUUUAAAGAUGACUGUUACUUUUAAUCUUUUUUUUCAGAGUACAUCUGCCUUUUAGAAGCCUGCAGGAACCACAGAAAUAAUGCAAGCUCUGCAGGUUUAGGGUCCUUAGAAAGAAGGGUCUGGGAAAAUGCUAAAUGUUAUAAUACAGUAAAAUGAAGGCAAAUGAUUCAGGUGUUUCCAAAGAUACUGUUUCUCUGCUUUUGGCCUCAUCUUGACUGUGACUGCCCUGUGUCUAUUGUAUAAACAGUGAGUAUAGAACAUAACACUUCUCUUGGUACCCUACAAAAUGGAGUUGUUUAAGGGCAGUUUUAUUUAUUGAAAGUUAAAGCAGAUUGCCUAGUUUGUUAUUUAUCUGUUGAAAUAUUUCUGGAAGCCUCUUUUGUCUUCUGAAAAUGUGACUGCAGGACAAGCAUAAUGUAAGUUAGAGCUAGGCAGAGCACCUGCAGUUUAACAUUGAUAUUGCAAGGUUCAGCAGACUUACCCUAGGAGAAGGAAUGCUCCUCAUCUGUGAGCUCACCACAUGAAGAGAGGAACUGUGAUACAUAAAUAUUGCCAAAAUCAAUACAGGACUGAGGGCUCUUCUUUUCUCUCAUCUCAGUAACCUUUCAUGGAGAAAUGUCCACCUGCUAUCUGGAGAACCUGAAUAUACAGAAGGCCUAGUUAAAAUCAAUUUAAAUACUUAUGCACUUCUGCCUUCAUUUUUUGAACAUACUGUUUAACAAAGAUGUCAAACGUACAGAGUUUUCUGGAGCCAGAGAUGACCUAGGAAUUAUCCAGAUUCCUUGAAAGUUUAUGCAUGUGUGUUUAUAGGCAUAUAUAUAUAUAUAUAUAUAUAUAAAAUUUAAUACCCUUUCAAGUAUAAGAAUGGCAGCACAAGAGUGGAAGAAUUGCAAAACUAAAAUGUCCACAUUAAGCUGAUGCAUGGUACAUAUCAGAUGAUAUAUAUACUGCCUUAUUGUUCAGUUGUGACUCAGGGAGCUAAAUGCAUAAUUUAAGAUAUAUGUAUAGUCUAAGGGUCAAAUGCUGUCAGUUACAUGAGUGUAAAUCAUGAGCAAUUGCACCAAAGUGACUGGAGUUGCAGUACCCUGGAUUUACACAAGUGUUACUGAAAGCAGAAUGUGAGUCAAUAUGUGUCAUCGAUACAAUUGAGUUAGUGGUAUUGAGGGAAUUUUAUGGUAUGCAUGAACCUAAAUUCUUCACAUUUUUCAUUGAUUAAAAUAUUACUUUUAAUGCUUCUAUGCUUCUAUUUUUGUUACUGUUUUUAGAAGAAUAAGUGUCCCAAACUCUGAUUCUGUAAGUGGUAUUCCCACCAAAUUUUCCCAACCCCAGUUAAUAAUGAUAUGGCAAACAUUACAGAGCUGUAGAAGCGUACUUUCUUUACCUAUAUUUCAGGCCAAGAUCUUAAUUUAUAUAAAUGCAGAAUUCUGAACCUCAUGCAGCCUGUUUCUUGGGAAACAUCUGACUACACAGAGAUACAUCCUUACACUCACCUGCUUCCAUUAAUGAUUUCAUGCAUAGCAAUGAAGGGCUAGGAAACAAAAUUUAUUAGACAUAUAGGACAGCAGGAUUUUGAUGCAGGAGGGAGGGCUGUGUACCUGGCUGAAGGGAAUGGGUAUGGAGCAUUGGCAGCUGAAAGUAAAAUCAGCUGUGCUAUAAGAGCAUGGGACAGCUUUCUUAACUGAUUCUUCCUGGGUUUGUUAUUGAGGAGUGCAAGGGAAAGAAAAUAGCUUUGCACCAAAUCUAAGAUACAACUCUAUGGCACAAAUCAAGGAGGUAUAAAAACUGAUAAUCUAUUGGGGAAGUAGUAGAGUACCAGCCAGAUAUUCCUGGCUUUCAAUGACCUUAUUUUGCAUGGAGGAAGAAUAUAUGAUUUUUAGGUUUGAGAGGAGGUUUUUAAUUCUGAAAGGAGGUUAUGUGUUAAAUAUAUGGUAGCAGUCUCUUCAAUAAUAGAAGUCAAGGCCCUUACUUGUGGAGCCAGAAUCUGGUAUUCUAUCACAUAAAAUAAUGCCAUUAUUUCUUAACAUACUUUUAAAUUGAAUGCAUUAUUUUUAAAUCACAUUUUUAUGAUAUUCUUGAAUAUCUAGAAAGAUUAAAAAAGCCUGAAAGUAGAUAGUAGAUUCUCCAAUAUUCGUAUAAUCAAAAAUGGUUGAUUGAAUUUGGAACACACAGACAAAAAAAGAAAGCCAUUUAAGAUUACAGUGAUCAGCGGGGGGAGCUUAUCACUUCAAAAGAAACAGAAAAAUGUGUUUGAACUAAGAAGGCCUGAAUGGAUCUCAACAUCAUAAUGAUAAUUACAGUUAGGGUACAAUUUAUACUAAAAGUACUAUCAUCAAUUAUGAUUGGUUUUCACUGAAUAAAGAUCUAGGAAUUUUUUUCAAAAUGAAGACACAUUUGUCUAUGCUCAACACGUACAUGCACCCUUAGCCAGUUAGAGUACUGUGUAGGCAUAGAUUUGUCAGGAUUCUUUGAUCCCAAAAGGAUUCAUAGAAGAAAAAUUUCUCUUUCUGAGAAAUGAUCUCUCUAGAGACUGAUAGUGAUGAUACAAUAGGCUGGAGUUGCUAUUAUUAAAAAAAAAAAAUUACUACUUUUUCUGACUAUGUUUCUUUUUUCCCAGUGGGAUUCUGAUUCCAGACGUUCUACCAGCCUGACAUCCACUGGGAAAGUGAUGACACCAUAAAUUAUUUAGAGGUUUGAAAACCAUGAGAACUACUGUAUAUAACCAGAUUGGAUUGACUUUUUAACUCUUUUGAUUAAUAAUACAUAAAGCCUUGGAUAUGUGAAGUGGUUGAGUGCUAACCUGUUAACAAAAGGAGUAGCAGAGAUGAAUUCUAACAUUUCUCAUAAGUUAUUCUACUUAACACAUUGGCCAAACAAAACAAACAAAUGAAAUGCUCUGCCUUAGUCUUAUACCUUCAGUGCACCAUCAAUAUUUGAUGGCUACCUAAUGUCUCUAUAUAUCUGGCCACCAAUGAUAUUUUGAUCAUCUGGCUUACCAAUUUCAGUCUUAGCUUCUUUUUCCUGUAUUUGUGAAAACAUGCCACUAGAAAGUAGAAAAAGAGUUUCAAUAUCCUGGUUUCUUUUCUGACUUUCAUUUUAACAUUACUAACUGCUCAGAUGUGAAAAUGAUAUUUCAGCCUUCAAAAAAGCAAGUGAAAACCAGAAUUUCCUAGGUUUAUGGUAUUUUUUCUCUGCAGCAGGAUGGGAGUAGACAUUUGCACUUCUACAGAUAGAUUUCAUGUUCUGCAUUUCUGCUACUGACCCUGUUUUAAUUAUCCACUUGUUUCUUAAGUUUUGUUCUUUUAUAGGUUGCUUUGGGUGGAGCUUUCAGAGAAAAGAGACACUGUUAUUUCCUUCCUAUUGAAAUACAGAAGAUGAUGCUCAUGACAGCCUGCAUUUCUGAGCAACAGAAAAAGUGACAAGAGACGUCACUGUGCUUCUGGGUUGCCUGGCCCGUACUUCAGGAGAUAGGCUAUUCAGGGUGAUUUCAGAGCAACACAUUAAUUUACAAUAGAAAUAUAUAUGUAUAUAUAUAUUUCUGUGCAACUCUCUGGAUGUUUUUGUAUUAUCCCAAAUGACAUUUGACUUCUUUAGAUGUAGAAACAAUAUGAAACACAUUUCUUUACUCAUUCCUGUGCACUUUUCCCUUGCGAUUUCCCAUAGAAUUCAAUUUUCAACUUCUUUCUGCACAGGUACUGGGUAUCUAUUCAACCUGCUGCAUGUCCAGCCAAUAUUAAUCAAAUACUAAUACUAUCAGUUACAGAUACUAGUACAUUCUUUUUACCACCUGAUAUGCCCACAGAAUUCUCCUUCCUUGAUCCCUCUAAUGUCAGAAAUACCUGGAGGCCCAUGGCCCUCUUCUAAUUUUUUUAAACCUUGCAGACUAACCAUUCAUCCUCUCCCUGUCCAGUACCAAUGAUGCCUCACCAAUCAUUCUGGAAGCUAUAAGAUCUGUGUGAGAUUAAUCUAUGUUUAAAAGAAUGAAUAAUUCAAUUCAAAAGCAUGCUUUAAAAUUUUUGUUAGUCCAGGCUCCUCAAUUUGUUCAAUUAUUUUGUUGUAAAUUUUUAGUGAUGCCUUUACUGCAAUAUAUUUGAAUUUCCUACAAUAUGAGUAAAACGAGUCUCACCUCAGCUUUAAGAAAUGAGGACCAAUUUAAGAAAAUUAUAGCAGCCCACCAAUUACACCUGAACAAGGCCUUGCUUGUGACACCAAUAAUAAAUUAAAUUAUUCAGCAAUAUUUAUUAAAUGUUAAUGAGUACCAUCACCUGACUUCCACAAACAGAAGUACUGUGUGAAAUCUGUUGUCAGGUACUGUUUCCUUUUCUGAAAGGAAGUAUCAUCCAAUUUGCGUACAGAUUCUCUCCCCACUCCAAAAAGGAAGUAUAUCCAUAAAAAUAAUUAGAAUCUCUUCUAUAUAAAUGCAUAUGUCCCCCUUCUAUUCUUAUAUUCCCGCCAUAUCAAUAACAGUGUAGUCACAUUGAUUUCCUAGUUAUGAUUAAAUAUAGCACUCAAACAAUUUAUUCUCAUUCUUAAAAAAAUUCUAGAUGUGGUGUUAUUUUUGCAUAUUUUCUUGCUGCAUCUUAAGGUCUAACCGGGUGACUGAGAUCAGCAUCUGACUUUACCAGAAUAGCAUGGAUCUUAGUAUUUUUUGCAUAGUAUCUUUCAACAGCCAUAAUAAAUAAAUAAAUAAACAAACAAACAAACAAACCAACAUUUGUAUUUUUUUUCCAUCUGGGAUUAUGUGACAAAAUGAUCCCCUGCAUCUAAUCAAUUAUUUUUCUUCUCUAUCUUUUGCAUUUUCCUGCAAAACCAUUUGCAAGUAUAACAGAAAGAUUCUUCAGAGAUAAUCUGGUGAUUAUUUCAAAAUCAACCUCGGACGCUGCAGGCAUUAAAAGAUGAAAAUUGCCUGAAGUCCACUGUUGUACAACAGAUCUGUACCUCUGGACUCCUGUCCUGAGGUAAAAAUGCAAACCAGAGAGAUAUUUAGAAUCAUUCUGACAGUUCAUAAAAUUAAGCAGGGAUUAGAGAUUCUCUCGGAAAUAAAUAAAUAAAAGGUAUAAUGCUACAGGGCCAACACAAUGUUAAUCACAUCUCCUUGCAACAGGUAUUACUUCCCCAACACUUUGGGGAAGAAAAAGAAGUCAUAUAAUUAAGCCUGGCAUGUGUUUAGCACUGGUGAUUCCAAUUUAAAUAUCUGAGUGCAUGAAUUCAACAUGUUAAUACAUAUACAUAUGCAUACAUGCACAUACAUAACUAAUAUAUAAACUGCACAAUCAGUUUAAUUGUAUAGGUUUCUACAGAAACCUAUGCAGAAGCCUGUAUACAGAAACCAUUUGUAGGCUUCUACAGAAAUGUUGUGUAUCUUAAGCACCCUAUUUUCCUCUGAAUUUAAUGGAUUAGCCCUGAUGAUAGAAACACUUGAACAUAUUCUUAACAUUACAUAACAAGAGUGCCUUGCUGAUUUUAGGAUAACUUUCAAUCCACAUGAAUUUAAGCAAAAGUUUAACAGUCUACUGGGAAUGUACUCUGUGCUGCCAGUCAUUUAAAACACACAAUUUAUAAGAAAAGAAUUGAAACUACUGUAGCAGACAUAGAUGGUUUUGAUCCCUGUUGCAUCUGCAGCAGGUAAGCCCAAGAAAUUGCAAACAUGAUUAAAAUGAAUACACAGCAAAAAGUGCACAGUGACCACAGAAAUAUGUCUGGGGCAAGCAUGGACUUUUCCAGUCAGACUCCCAAAUUUCCCCACCCACCUUUCAAACUUCUCAGUAUGGUUCAAAAUGUCUCCUCAGCACUGGUUUGCUUAAAAGGAUGCCUUUCCUUUUCUUCCUGGAUGAGCAAACUCUAAUGUACUGCAUUUACACAGUGUAUAAAAUGACUCUCAGUGUAUUAGAUUAGUAUCAUGUUUCAAUAUCUUUGGAAAAUGUUCAAGUUAAAUUAACAUGUUUCUAACAAACUGAAAAGUCCAAAAUAGAACUAGCUGAAGUGGAUUAAAAGAUUUUUUUUUCUUUUUUCUUUUUUUUUUUUUUUUUAGUACAAAAAUAAAUUAAAAAUAACUGCCUAGAGAAUUUUUUCAAGAUAUAUUUUAUGCUCAAAUUACAGUCCCUUUAUUUAAGCUUUGAAUUUUACUCAACCUUCUGUUAAUGAUGUAGAUAUUUUUUGAUAAUAAAUAUUAGCAAAUUUCCUGAUUCAACAAAAGAAGGGAACAUUGUUUUACACAGUAUAUCUUAGACAUCGGAAAUGUAAUUAAUUUUCAUCUUUAAAAAUUUCUUAUGAAAAUUAAUUUCCAUCCCAUUUUAGUCCUGAAUGUUGACUGGAGCUAGGAUAAUACAUCACACAAAUGUUGAUUUAAAUAUUUAAACAAAUUCACUUACUUUGGAUUUACAUCCCCUUUGGGCUCUACUUUCCAUGAAUACUCUGAUAAAUAAGCUUACUGUAAGGACAAUCUGCUGGGAGGGCAAAUUAUAAACAAAAAUUGAAGAAUUCAUGUGGGAUAUGAAUUUUUGAAUUCUAAUCAUCAAUUGUUGCACUAGCAAUUAAAGCUGAUUGGAGGACAGUAAUUCCAUGCUACAUUAAUUUUCAAGACUGUGUCUUCAUGUCUAGUUUGUUUUGGUUUGCUUUUGUCUCAUUUUCUGUACAAAACACAAACUCUUUACACUACUAAAGUGAAAUUGCCUUUAGAAUCAUAGAAUAAUAGAAUCACAAGGUUGGAAAGGACCUACAAGAUCAUCUAGUCCAACCAUCCUCCCAUUACCCUUGCUACCACAAGCUGCUAAACCAUAUCUCGUAGUUUCUCAUCCAGAAGCCUCCUGAACACUGCGAGAGAUAACGACUCCACCACCUCCCUGGGCAGGCCAUUCCAGUGCCUGACCACAGUCUGAGAAAAAGUUUUUUACAUACAAGUAUGUCUGCGUAUUUCAGCCAAGGAUACAACAAAAAGAGAGAAGUCCUUUCUCAGACUGAAUCACAUUUUACUCAUUUUCAUCGAUGAUUUUUAUCUGUGAUGACUCAGUUAGCUGGAGGAGAAACCUGUUCCUAAGCUUUCUACAUCCAAGGCCGCUGCUCUAACCACAGAGCUGUCAGAAAAACCAAAACGUCCACUUCAUUCAUUUUCAUUCUGCAAAAAAUUUCCAUUCAUACAAAAUAGAUAUGUAGCUUUCAGAAUUCAGAGUGCUCCAAUUCAAAAUGGCUCCCGUCUAACACAUGAAUAUUAAGUAACCACAUCUCCUGAGGUAAGGCUGGAUUCCUGACCCAUCGCAGAUUUAUAGGGGAGCAGGGAAAAGUCCUGAAACAGCAUUUAUGGCAUUCAUCCCCCACCACUCCCAGUCUCAUUGAGUCAGGCCACCCAUGUGGCAGCUGAGACUGUUCCUUAAAUAAUCGUCUGGAAGAGCUAAGGAUGACUUUUCACAUUGAAACAUUUCUUUUCUGUAGAAGGAAGAAACUGAGAAGAGACAUGGGACCUGUGCUCUAUAAGAAAAGUGAUACCAGUCUGGGCUCCGCAACUGUCAGCCACCUUCCAUCCCUGCAAGGAGUCAAGGCUUGCACACAGCAGUUUCAGGGUGAAUCUGGAGACCAACAAGCUUCAAGGGUAAAGAAAGCAAGAGAAGUUUCACCUCCUGUCCCCACAAUUUCCUCUGUCUGGGUUGAGUUCCCAGAACAAAGUACAUCUUCAUCGUAGUCUCACAAUGAGAUAAUACCUUGAUGCAAACAGCUUGCUUUCUGCCACUGACUGUUGACACUAGCACAGCCUCAACCAAGUCAUGCUCAUGUCAGUUCGUUCCAACGCAAACAGUAUGAACUUUCACUUUGGAAAUGUUAUGGACUUUGGGGGAACAGUUUAUACAUUGCUAAGCCUAAUGUCAUAUAAGAGUCCAUAACUGCAAUUUAAAGGCCAUAUUAACGAAUAGGCUUGUAUAAAGGAAUUAACAGGGUGUGAAUUUGUGUAUGUGUUUCUGUACAAUUUGUUUGGUGUCUCUGCAUGCAAAGAAGGGCUUAAGCAAGACCUCCUCCUUUCUGAUUUUAUCUCUGAUUUGACAAGUCAUAGUGCUCUCAGUAAGCAGGACUGCAUUUUUGACAAAGUACCUGGCACAUGUUUAGUAAUUUUAGCCAGAAAUUACAUCAUAACAAGUUCUUCUUAUAGACAGCUGAUGAGUGAGCUUUGAUUUAUUUUUAUUUUUGUCCUCAGGAUGAUGGUUUUCUACUUAUGUCAGUGGCCAGUAGUAUAACAAAUCCUUCACCGUAAGUAUGUGUGCAUCAAUUUUUCAGCAAACACUGGCCUUUUGAGGUGAAAAGUUGCACUGUCACUCAUUUGCAAAUUGACUUCUCUCUUGGUUGCCAAAGCCAGUUAAUUUGCAAAUCAACAUUUUACAUGAGCCCUUUAAGCCAAUCCAAGUACUCAGUGGCUGCCAUUGCUAUGUAAUUAGUGUCUAAAGCACUUAAAAUUUAAUUAAUUUUAAAAAAUCAAAAAGAUCAGUGAAUUUGCUCUGUGCAUGGCCAGAGUCUCUUUUGCUGACUGAAUAGAAGAUCUCGAUUUAGAAAAUUACAGCAAGGCUCUGAUAUGGUUGGAAAGGAAUGAAGGAUAUGCACAUAGGCUGACGCAGUCAGAAACGUUAAUUUCACAUAUCUUCAGAAAAAUAAAACACAACCUUCUCAUAUUAAUUCACAAACUGCAUGACAGGUACUAUAAAAUACCAGCAAAUGAGAGUUAGAAGAGGAGGAAGUAGUCAGUGCAAUCAGAGUUGCAUUCCUUUAAACCAGGUUUUAUGCUCGUAGAAUGUAACCUGAAAUAGGUAGAAAUUUCAGCUUUUGUCUUGAAUAGGAUGAAAGAUGUGAAAACUUUGUGGUAAUUAUUUUGAUUUAUGAUGGAGACAGUAUCAGGAGAGAAGUUUGUUUUGGGUGAAAUAUUCAUCUUUUUUGGAGGUAACUUUCAAUUACAAAUUCUUCAUCCAUUUGGGUUAAUCUGGUCUGAAGAAGGAAGUUUCACUGAGGAAGAUGCCAACCAGAACUACAGAGAAGAUGUCUUCAUUGUUUGGAGCCUCUGGCUAUAGAACAGUUAGGUACUGACAAGACAAGGUAUGUGUAGAAAUAGGAUACAUUCUAGAAUGUAGUCUCUUUAAAAGAUAGGCAGGUGGUUGGAGAGAAAACAAAAACAAACAAACAAAUAAACAAUAUAAAUAACAGCAAAACCAGAGAGAUAAUACCCCAAAGAUUACCCCAAUAGAUUUAUUAUGUGUAGUAAAAUCUAUAUUGAUUUCUUCACAUUGGCUCUAUUAACCUUAUUUAAACUUUUCUAUCCUUUCAUGUCUUUUUGGUACUUUUCUUACAUUGGCACAUAAAUGGUUUUAUACUCAACUAAAUGUCUGUCAGACAAAAUUAUAUUUACAAAGAUUGUAGACUAGUCACUGAGGUGGUAGAACUCACACAAAGCUCAAAGGCCAUCUAAUAUUUCUGCUCUUCGUAAGUCUGAUGGACUUACUAGUUGUCUUUACUAACAUACUGAUAUGCAUAAUGAGGAAUCUUGGACAAACUCUGUGCAGAAUUCAGGGCAAAAUAUGCCCUUCUGUUGCUUUAUUUGCACUUCAUAUAUGUCCCUGAGGCAAGCUAGAGGGAGAACUUGCAUCACAAAUGUCACCAUCAUCUGUCCAGUAAUUCCCCAGCAAAUAUCUGGUUGUAUUACACUUGGGUGAGUAGAGUGUGAGCAAGCAAUUAUGGUAGAGCAGCUGACCCACUGCACACUCAUAGGCUAAUAUACCUCUUGAGAAGUAGCUAAUUUGCCUAUAGGUGUGGUUUCUGCCUUGUAGUCCCAUCCAUUAUUUUUAAAACUCUAGAAUUAUUUGUCAAACCUAAAUCCUCAACCCAAGUCAGAUGUAGAAUGGCACUAAGUGUGACUUAGAUAAACUCCAGAAAAAUCAAUUAAUAUAAAUAGUAUAAAAAAGCUACAAAUGGAAGCAAGUAGGGCCCAGGAUGAUUUUUCCGAUGGACAUUUUUGCUGUAACAUACAUAAUGCUAGCUGGCAAACAGCAAGUUUUGACACUGUUAUUUGUCCAUGGCUGCUCAGUGUGUAAAUCAGAAUGAUGCAUAUAGUCGACACAUCAGGGGUAUAUGGAAAACAAACUGCCCAAUCACUCUGGGCCUAACAACUUAGAGACCACAAUGAUAUACUGUAAGGUUGGUACUGCUGACUUCAAAAGCAGUAAAUCACACUACCGCCAGAAGGUAUUGACAAAAUUAAGCAACCAAGAUUGAACAGAAAACAAAAGCUUUUCUGCAUAUUUAGUUAUUUCAUAUUCAGAUCUUCUGAAACUUAUUUUAUACCCUUUUUUGGAUUUUAUGAAAUUACUUUAAUUCUGUAUGGGUAGUGGGUUUAUAAAGCAAUUAACAAUGCAGUCAUAAGGAUCUGUGGCUGUAAUCUGUACUUCCCCAAACUACAUUUCACCAAGUAUUAACUGUGAUACCAUAAAGAAAAUCCUAUAUUUUAUCAGAAUAAUGCAGGAGGUUGCUGAGUAAGUGUUGGUUCAUAUUAGUUAAUGCAUUUCAUAUAUAAUGUACAGUAAGGCAAAAAAUAAAAUGGGUUUAUUGGUCACACCUCUUUUAAAUGCUGUCAGAGUAGAAUACUUCUAAUUAGUUGUAAAGAAUAUCCUGUGCCUUAAGAACUCCUGUAAUUGGUGUUAGUGUGUACCCAUCUAAAGGUACAAAUCUGAGAUGCAAACUCUGGGAAAAUGUAAAUCCAGAUUUUGGCAGAGUGGCUUGAUCCUGUCUAACUUCAGUAUUCAAAACAACAAUUGGAGAGAAUAAUUAAUUCUGAGUUUGGCCCAGCGAAAACAUAAAGGCACAGUCUCAUAGUGCUUUUCUCUCUGCCCAGCGAGAAAUGAUAGUUAUAAGCUCUAGAAAAUAUUUCACAGGAGAUGUUGGUGUGCAUCUGACUUUCCUUCAUAUUUUAUCAGGGAUUUUUCACAUAAAGAAGCAAAAUUACUGCCCUUUGACUACUUGCUCCAACCAACAAACCACUACUUGCAGUAAGUGGGGUGUUUACACUAUAGCAAGUGAAUGAGUUUCUGCAAAUAAUGUCACCACCUCAAACAAGAAUGAGCAGGCUGCAAAGGUGGCUAAUGCAUUGCUAGGCAUUUAAAACUUCCUGACCUUUCUCCCUGGGGUUUAUAAAGUAUAAUAUGAUAGUUCCUGGCAAAAUAGGAAGGGGUAAUGCUAAAAAACCUAAGAAUAUAAAUUUGUUCAUUGUGGGUAAAAGAUAGGGUGCCCUGAAGUAACCAUGGACAUAAAAGAAAUUAAAACCAAACCUAGCUCUGUAGGAAGAAAGUAUUAUUACUAAUCACAAUUAGCCAAACAACAGUCACCUCUUAAACGCUGGGCAGUUUUCGCUUUCUCGCCCCCUUUUAUGCUCUAUGCUUUUCAGUGCACCCUGCUCCCAUUUACCAUGUCAUCCUCUCCCAAGAUAUUCUGUGUGUGCCUGUAUCACCAUUCCCAGUGUCCCUUGCUCUGCUAGCAUGGGUUUGAGUGGCAGUGAGAAAUCUGUAAGCAGGUGUUGUGGAAGUGAAGCGUGCCAUUUCGGCCAGUACAUUAGGUAAAGUAACGUUCCCUUGGGAACUCUAAUGCUUACAACUGCAUCAGCCCCAACUGUUCCUGCGAGAAAAGAAAGAGGCCAGUCCUGACCUGUUCUGACCAGAUGUUUUGGAAAUGUGCCCAUUUUUAGCAGAUAUAAUUGCUGUUAAUUUAUCAAAAGUGCAAUAGGUACUAACAAAGCACACUCUACUUACAAUCUAGCAAUAAAAUGUAAGAGACAAAAUAAGGGGUACAGAAGAGGUUAUGUUUGAACCACAGAAUCACAGAACUGUAGGGGCUAGAAGGGACCUCUAGAGAUCAUCGAGUCCAACCCCCCUGCAAAGCAGGCCUCCUACAGCAGGCUGCACAGGUGUAUAGUGCAUAGGACUUUAUUCAAUACUAGUUUAUGAUAAUUUCCAACAUAAUCCACUCUGUGUAAUAGAUAUGAUAUGACUGAUUAAUAAAUGGAUGCAGGGGAAAAAAAGAUAAUUUUUCAUUAUCCUUUGCCAAAAUUGUUCAGGAAUCUCUGUAGACUGCAGACUGCAUUCUGUAGACUACAUGUAAGAAAAGGGGAAGGAAACGUAACGAAAGCUACUGAGUUUUAACUGUGUGUCGGGUUCAUUUGGAAAGCUUACAUCUUAUUCUUUAAACUCUGGAAAGAGAGAAUCCAACCUGCACAAACAAAAGGAAAUGAUGGUCAUGUCCUUUUAUUAAUAUCCUUUGAAAUUACCGAAAUCAGAUUUGUCACAUGAAAAAAAAAACAUUUACAAAAAUAAUUAUUUUGUUUUCCUUCUUCCUCUUUCACUUACUUUACAGUAUCUGUCUUGUUCAGAGGGCUAAAGGGCAGCCCACCAAUUUUCUAAGUAUUUUCAUUUUCAGAACAUGAAUACCUUUUCUGAGCAUAAAUAUGUGGGUGCUGUCAUUCCCAUUAUCAGUUUGAAGUGCAGGGAUUUCAUUCAGUUCUGCAUGUCUCAAUAGGGUAAAGUAAUUUUUUUCUAUGAGGAUCAGUGCAAUUACAGUAAGCUUGCACUCCAGGAAACAAGGGGUUUUAUAGGCUUGAAUUUCUGGAUUUCUGAGGCAUUUAUUCAGCCUUUAUCUUUGCACUUAUUAACAAAAAUUUGCUGAUCGCCAAGAAGUAAACUAUCAGAAUACUCAGCUUAAAAUCAGAAUGUCUUUUUCCGAAAUUGAUAGUCUUGAUGAGUUACAAGAUUUUUUUUUCCACACACCACAAACACUUCAAUAAUAAGAAUUGUGUUACUAUCUUAUUCAUAAUGCAAAGGUGUCAUUUAAUAAUAAACUUGUUCAGCAGUAUGGUUUUGCAUUUGCUCUUUCUGACAAAUUAGAAAGACUAUGCAAUUUUCAUUCUUUUUUUUUUUUUUUUUAACUAUGUUAUUUGUAGAAAACAUUCCUUCUCAAGCAUAGCUUUCAUGGUAUAUAGUGCCUAUCUGUGCAUACAGAGCAUCCCAUAUGGUUACAGUGGGCCGGAGGGGUUGCUACUAGCCAUAUUUUAAAAAGCAGAUGUUACUAAUCUUCUAAGUAUUACACCCAAAUGAUGUCACUUCUGACUGACAACAGUUGGGCUCAUCAAUCCCCUUCAAUGUCCUUUUGCAUGUAACGUGUAAAGGGAAAGAAAAUUUUGCUCAGGAAGCAUGUCUCUAAAAGGGCAGAUCACUUUAUAUUACUACUGAACUGUUGAGCAGAAUGUCAGUUCCUGCAGGGGAAUGUAUAUAUCUGUUAAAGGCAAGAAGGUAAAGAAGUUUGCCUAGUAAUAGGACAUGCAGGGAAACUUUUAGGACAGCCAUUUCAGAGUCAGGCUACAAUGUGACAAGCUGAGGGUUUUAGCUCAAAGUGCCUGUCUGCAUCGUGCAAUACACAAAGGCAACAUUCUUAUGCAUGUACAGAAGAUUUCCUUACAGGAUUGCACACGAAGGUACUAGGUGCUUCUGUGAACAAAGCCAGUGUGAAUUCCAGAGUUGCUUUUCAGUUGAUUGCAUUUAACAGCAGUGAAUAAACAAAGAUGAAAGCUAGCACUGAAGAUUUGGCCACAAAUGGUACAGAUUUCACAGAAAUGAAUAAAUAAGGUUUAAUUUCUGUGACAAUUGCAGAGCUAUUUUUUUUCAUUUUCCAUAUAAAUCCUUCGCCUCCUAAAUCUCACAAAGUAGUGAGUAAUAGUAGUGAAGAGUAGUAAUAGUGGAUGUGCUUUGGUGUCUUUUCUGGAUUUCCAGAAAGUUAAACACAUACACACACAAAAAUAGGCUAAUAUAUCCAGACAGUGCAUCAGAAACCAGUUACUACACCAAUGAUAGUAAUAACACAUAUCAAACUCCUUCUCUUCUGCUAGCAAUAGGAUCCUUCUUCAGUUUACUUUGGCAGGAAUUUCUUCCUCAGAUUCCCUCCCAGUGCUCACUCUGUGUAUUUCCCAUCCUAUUUUUGCUGUUACAUAAUAUUUUUUCUUACAGAUACUAUACUUUGCCAACUCUGUCUCUCUCCAUAUACACUUCACUCAGACAUUUGUGUUAAUAAUAUUCUGCAGAGAUUAUUCUCAGGGUUUAAUUAUCCACUGGUUUAAAAAUAAUUUUAUUUGACCCAUUUUGAACAUGUGGCCACAUAGUUUUGCAUUUGGGAUAUGAAUAAGAAUAAGAGAGAAUGAAUAAGAGAACUUAAUUUACCUUAUAAGUACCACAUUAACAGCUAUAUACUUGUGUGGGUUUUCCUGAUUAUCUGGAUAUUCCUUUCUAUUUCCUUAUUAUUUUCAACUUCUUUAUGGAAGGUUUUGUUACCUGUACAGUAACAAGACUGUAAGAGUCACUCCUCCGAACAGAGAAGAUGAAAACAGCUCAUAUGUUUCCAACUUCAGAGCCCUUUUUAGCUAAAAUUUGACCUGAAAGCUUUAUUUCAGUAAUUUUUCAGGCCCGUACAGCCAGAACUUCCCUCUUAGUUUCUCUUAACAUUAAUCUUUUACAUUCAGGGACAAAAACUCUUACAAAAUAAUAAAAGCAAAGACAUUCCACACUUUUGUACAUUUCCAUUCAAUAAAAAAGAUAUCUAUUUUUCAGUUGUAUGCUGGUAUCUCUUUCUGCAUUGGAGAUUUAACUAUUAUGUAUAUAUAAAAUAAGGAGUAGAUUUUAUGACUAUCAUUUUCAGCAAGGUCCAGUCUGAUCUAUUGCAGUGUAAGGCAAUUCUCUGCUUCAUGCUUACCUUGUAAAUUUACAUUUUUGUCUUUCAUAACACAUAUGAAACAUAUUUACACGUUACUCAGUCUCUGUUUGCUGCCAACAUGUACUUAUACUGUUCUAAGCAGAAAAAGAAUAGAAGUUGGGAAGAGCUUGAGUGAUUGGCAACAGGCACACAUGGUUAAAUGUCAGCAUUUUGGUAUGUCGUUCAAUGGUCAGACACUUCACUGUAUUGCCAUCCAACAAACCUAUGAGACAUAUUAUCAAGGAAUAUAUGCCAGCUCUUUUCCAGCAAACUGCUUGGUGCCUGAUGCCAAGUACUGGUGGGUGUAUACCUUUUUAUGCUGUCACUGCAUUCAGCCUCCAGGGUGUUGCAUGAAAGGAUCAUUGGAUGUUAAUGAAUAACAAAAUGUGUCAUUUCCCUUUAGAAUUUGUCUAUCUAUCAUAUACAGUGAAAAAGACAUGUUUGUUUUCUUCUCCCUGUAUUUACAUGCGUGUCAAAAUACGUACUGUUAAACCUGGCCACAUGCUUAGACAGUAUGUUAUCUUGUUAGUCUUUUUUUCAUUAUUACUAUUGCACGUGAUUUUACAUCCAGUUUCAUGUAAAAUAUGAGUCACAGAAAAAUGAAUUAGAACAUCAAAUCUGUUUUUUCUUGAUUGGAUCAGUAACUUUUGUUUAAAAAUGCUCUUUUUGUAUACGAUGAAUUUAUGAGAAAAGCACUUGGCCCAUUUAAGAUGUGUGGCCACUCAUACUGUCAACAAAAUAUGAUAGAGAAUGAAAAAAAUAGAAACAUCAUUAGUACUCAAAAAAUAACGGAAUAAAUAGUAUGAAAU